rnacentral:rRNA from 1 species
UCAAGAUAAAAAGGGCGUAUGGUGGAUGCCUUGGCGCCAGGAGGCGAAGAAGGACGCGGUAAGCGGCGAAACGCCACGGGGAGCUGCAAGCGAGCAUAGAUCCGUGGGUAUCCGAAUGGGGAAACCCGAUAGAGGCGAACCUCUAUCAUCCCUGCCUGAAAAAAAUAGGGCAGGAGAAGCGAGACCCGGUGAACUGAAACAUCUUAGUAACCGGAGGAAAAGAAAUCAAGCGAGAUCUUCCUAGUAGCGGCGAGCGAACGGGAAAGAGCCCAAACCUGAUAUGUGUAAGCCUGCAAGCGUUGCAUAUGAGGGGUUGAGGGGCUGACAGGACAGAAUUGCAGAGCUGUCAAAGAGUAAAAAAACCGGUAUUUAGGCGAACGAGUCUGGAAAGACCGGCCGUAGAGAGUGAAAGCCUCGUAGCUAAAAAACAACGGACUCUUAGUCAGGACCCCGAGUACCGCCGGACACGUGGAACCCGGUGGGAAGCAGGGAGGACCACCUUCCAAGGCUAAAGACUACCUGGCGACCGAUAGCGGAUAGUACCGUGAGGGAAAGGUGAAAAGCACCCCGGGAGGGGAGUGAAAAAGAACCUGAAACCAUAUGCUUACAAACAGUCAGAGCACUAUUUAUUAGCUGCGGUUAAUAAAGUGUGAUGGCGUACCUUUUGUAGAAUGGGCCAGCGAGUUACGGCAGCAAGCAAGGUUAAGUCCAAAAAGGACGGAGCCGGAGCGAAAGCGAGUCUUAAGAGGGCGAAAAGUUUGUUGCUGUAGACCCGAAACUGGGUGAUCUAUCCAUGGCCAGGGUGAAGUCUCGGUAACACGAGAUGGAGGCCCGAACCAGAGUGCGUUGAAAAGUACGUGGAUGAGCUGUGGAUAGGGGUGAAAUGCCAAUCGAACCCAGAGAUAGCUGGUUCUCCCCGAAAUAGCUUUAGGGCUAGCGUUAUAUGUUUCCUUAUGGGGGUAGAGCACUGGUUAGGCUAGGGGCCUUACCGGGUUACCGAACCUUCCCAAACUCCGAAUACCAUAAGGUAAGAAUAUAGCAGUCAGACUGCGGGUAAUAAGGUCCGUGGUCGAGAGGGAAACAGCCCAGACCGCCAGCCAAGGUCCCAAAAUUCAUGCUAAGUGGGAAAGGAAGUAGGGCUGCAGAGACAGCCAGGAUGUUGGCUCAGAAGCAGCCACCAUUCAAAGAGUGCGUAAUAGCUCACUGGUCAAGUGGCCCUGCGCCGAAAAUUCAACGGGGCUAAGCAUGAUACCGAAGCUGCGGAUCCGGUAGUGUUUUAAGAUGUUAGAGGAUUGCGAAGGAGAAGGUUGCGAAGCGAUAGCGGAGCAACGAAAUUCCAUAAAAAAUAAACGCGAUACCGCUGGCAUGUUAAAACACUACCGGGUGGUAGGGGAGCAUUCCUAACGGGUAGAAGUCGUACCGGAAGGAGCGGUGGACUGUUAGGAAGAGAGAAUGCUGGCAUAAGUAAGCGAGAAGGCAGGUGAGAAUCCUGCCCGCCGUAAACCUGAGGUUUCCUGGGGAAGGCUCGUCCGCCCAGGGUAAGCCGGGACCUAAGCCGAGGCCUAAAGGCGUAGGCGAUGGACAACUGGUUGAGAAUCCAGUGCCACCUGAAACCGCUAUGAGCAAUGGGGUGACGCAGGAGGAUAGGUGAAGCGCACGAGUGGAAGAGUGCGUCCAAGCAUGUAGGAGGCAGAAUAGGCAAAUCCGUUCUGCGCAACUCCGAGGUGUGAUGGGGAGGGAAACGAAGUACCGAAGUCACUGACUCCAAACUGCCAAGAAAAGCCUCUAGCCAGGUCAGGGUGCCCGUACCGAAAACCGACACAGGUAGGUGAGGAGAGAAUCCUAAGGCGCGCGAGAGAACCCUCGUUAAGGAACUCGGCAAAAUGACCCCGUAACUUCGGGAGAAGGGGUGCUUUGUUAGAGUGAGUAUAUAAACAUGUACGAGCUUGAGAGAGCCGCAGCGAAAUGGCCCAGGCGACUGUUUACCAAAAACACAGGUCUCUGCUAAAUCGAAAGAUGAUGUAUAGAGGCUGACGCCUGCCCGGUGCUGGAAGGUUAAGGGGAAUGCUAAGCGGCAACGCGAAGGUGUGAACCGAAGCCCCAGUGAACGGCGGCCGUAACUAUAACGGUCCUAAGGUAGCGAAAUUCCUUGUCUGGUAAGUUCAGACCCGCACGAAAGGCGUAACGAUCUGGGCACUGUCUCGACGAGGGGCUCGGUGAAAUUGUAAUACCGGUGAAGAUGCCGGUUACCUGCGAUAGGACAGAAAGACCCCAUGGAGCUUUACUGUAGCUUGAUAUUGGAUUUUGGUAGUUGAUGUACAGGAUAGGUGGGAGACUAAGAAGGCAGGUCGCAAGGCUUGCUGGAGUCAAUGGUGGGAUACCACUCUUGAAUUGCUGAAAUUCUAACCUUGUCCCGUAAACCGGGUCAGGGACAGUGUCAGGCGGGCAGUUUGACUGGGGCGGUCGCCUCCCAAAGAGUAACGGAGGCGCCCAAAGGUUCCCUCAGCGCGGAUGGAAAUCGCGCGAAGAGUGUAAAGGCAUAAGGGAGCUUGACU